rnacentral:misc_RNA from 1 species
GAUGAAGAACGUAGCGAAAUGCGAUAAGUAGUGUGAAUUGCAGAAUUCAGUGAAUCAUCGAAUCUUUGAACGCACAUUGCGCCCCUUGGUAUCCCGAGGGGCAUGCCUGUUCGAGCGUCAUUUCACCACUCAAGCCUGGCUUGGUGUUGGGCGACGUCCUCUUUGGGGACGCGCCUCGAAACGCUCGGCGGCGUGGCACCGGCUUUAAGCGUAGCAGAAUCUUUCGCUUUGGAAGUCGGGGCCCCGUCUGCCGGAAGAACUGCUCGCAAGGUUGACCUCGGAUCAGGCAGGGAUACCCGCUGAACUUAAGCAUAUCAAUAAGCGGAGGA